rnacentral:rRNA from 1 species
AUCGAACGCUGGCGGAAUGCUUUACACAUGCAAGUCGAACGGCAGCACGGACUUCGGUCUGGUGGCGAGUGGCGAACGGGUGAGUAAUACAUCGGAACGUGCCAGUCGUGGGGGAUAACGUAGCGAAAGCUACGCUAAUACCGCAUACGAUCUAAGGAUGAAAGCGGGGGAUCGCAAGACCUCGCGCGAUUGGAGCGGCCGAUGGCAGAUUAGGUAGUUGGUGGGGUAAAGGCUCACCAAGCCGACGAUCUGUAGCUGGUCUGAGAGGACGACCAGCCACACUGGAACUGAGACACGGUCCAGACUCCUACGGGAGGCAGCAGUGGGUAAUUUUGGACAAUGGGCGAAAGCCUGAUCCAGCCAUUCCGCGUGCAGGAUGAAGGCCCUCGGGUUGUAAACUGCUUUUGUACGGAACGAAAAGGUCCUGGUUAAUACCUGGGGCUCAUGACGGUACCGUAAGAAUAAGCACCGGCUAACUACGUGCCAGCAGCCGCCGCAG